GGAGGCUCGCGCUGGCUUCCCUGUUACUGCUGCUGCGCCUUCGCCGCUGGAAAGCAGCAAUUGAGCGGCUCGGCCGAGGCGGCCGCCCGCAGACACUGGUUCAGGUGCAUCCCUUCGCGAUCCUUGGCGCUGCUGCUUCCGAGCUGGGUCGGAGAACGGCCCGAACAAAUGGGAAAGACUGAGAAGGCCCGUGAAAUUGCCCUAGAGAAACAUCACCACCCAUUUCUUCUGGUACUGUAGAGACCAGCUCUCCAACUCCCAAAUUGAGGCCCAGCCCCUAUUUACCUUCUCAUCUGAUGAAUCUGUAGUCAGUGUUUAAAUUUGCUUUCUGAGUGGAUUGAAGAUUUUCC